rnacentral:rRNA from 1 species
GACGAACGCUGGCGGCGUGCUUAACACAUGCAAGUCGAGCGGUAAGGCCCUUUCGGGGGUACACGAGCGGCGAACGGGUGAGUAACACGUGGGUGACCUGCCCUCAGCUCUGGGAUAGGCCUGGGAAACCGGGUCUAAUACCGGAUAUGACUCCAUGACGCAUGUUGUGGGGUGGAAAGCCUUGUGCGGCUGAGGAUGGGCCCGCGGCCUAUCAGCUUGUUGGUGGGGUGAUGGCCUACCAAGGCGACGACGGGUAGCCGGCCUGAGAGGGCGACCGGCCACACUGGGACUGAGACACGGCCCAGACUCCUACGGGAGGCAGCAGUGGGGAAUCUUGCGCAAUGGGCGAAAGCCUGACGCAGCGACGCCGCGUGAGGGAUGACGGCCUGUGU